rnacentral:rRNA from 1 species
AUUGAACGCUGGCGGCAUGCCUUACACAUGCAAGUCGAACGGCAGCGGGGGAGAAGCUUGCUUUUCCUGCCGGCGAGUGGCGAACGGGUGAGUAAUACAUCGGAACGUGCCCUGUAGUGGGGGAUAACUAGUCGAAAGAUUAGCUAAUACCGCAUACGACCUGAGGGUGAAAGUGGGGGACCGCAAGGCCUCAUGCUAUAGGAGCGGCCGAUGUCUGAUUAGCUAGUUGGUGGGGUAAAGGCCUACCAAGGCGACGAUCAGUAGCUGGUCUGAGAGGACGAUCAGCCACACUGGGACUGAGACACGGCCCAGACUCCUAAGGGAGGCAGCAGUGGGGAAUUUUGGACAAUGGGUGAAAGCCUGAUCCAGCAAUGCCGCGUGUGUGAAGAAGGCCUUCGGGUUGUAAAGCACUUUUGUCCGGAAAGAAAUGGCUCUGGUUAAUACCUGGGGUCGAUGACGGUACCGGAAGAAUAAGGACCGGCUAACUACGUGUCAGCAGCCGCCGCGG